CAGCUGAACAUAAUAAGUUAUUAAGACCGGUACCACUCGUUAGACUAGAGAGACAACAGGAAGGAAAAACAUUGUGUGAGUGCUCUGGAUCAUAUUAUCACUACUGGAUACAUUUACGGCAUCAAUGAAGAAUGGAUCAUUCCUGUAUCACGGGUGAAGCCACAUCCACCAACGGACCCCCCAACACUGCGGUGAGAGAGCUGCCACUACUUGGUAAUCAUGCAGGGUCUCAUGGGGGGCUCAGGGGACGAGACCCGAUGGCAGAGCCUCUGGAAAACAAGGAGAGACGCUGUGGUCCCCAGGGCCACGAGGGAAAGAAACAAGGAGAGAAACGCAAGAGCUUCUUAUCGUCAAAGAGUAUACAGUCAAGAUAGUAUGAACAACUGUCCUCGUCUCUCCCCUUAGAGAAAAAUGUACGAC